CCCUUAGAUGUUCUGGGCUGCACGCGCGCUACACUGAAGCGUUCAACGAGUAUUCACCUUGCCCGGGAGGGUUGGGUAAUCUUUUGAAAACGCUUCGUGAUGGGGAUAGAUUAUUGCAAUUAUUAAUCUUCAACGAGGAAUUCCUAGUAAGCGCGAGUCAUCAGCUCGUGCUGAUUACGUCCCUGCCCUUUGUACACACCGCCCGUCGCUCCUACCGAUUGGGUGUGCUGGUGAAAUGUUCGGAUCGGCCGUUUGUCGCGGUUUCCGCGGCUCGUGGCUGAGAAGUUCAUUAAACCCUCCCACCUAGAGGAAGGAGAAGUCGUAACA
rnacentral:rRNA from 1 species